rnacentral:lncRNA from 1 species
AAAAAAUAGAUAGUCUCGUCAAAAUAAUCUACAAUUCAAGUUAAAUUACACAUUAUUAUUUUAAAUAAUAAUAAUAAUAAUAAUAAUAAUAACAAUAAAAAAAUAUCAAAUUAGACUUUAGUCUAUCGAUUUUUUGAUUUUGACUCAACAAAAGCUAGCAAUCCACCUCGCAUCGACUCGUCAGUAAACAAGCUGAAUAACCGACCGUUUUUAGAGCAAGUGGCAAAACGCUUGAUGGUUCGUACCUGAGGUCCCAAAUUCAAAUCCUAAUUGAUUCACAUUUUCCAUCGGAUAGCAUGUAAUCUAUCUCUAAAAAAAAUAAAAUAAUAAACAAGCUGAAUAUGAGCUAAAUUUUUUAACUAAAUAUUUUAACGAACCAGCAUGUGUUUAGGUCAUUUAAUAAACCAAUAAAAAUGAGACGGCCACAACUGGCUUGU